CCUACGGGUGGCAGCAGUGAGGAAUAUUGGUCAAUGGGCGAGACCCUGAACCAGCCCAGUCGCGUGAAUGAUGGCGGGUCUACGGGUUGUAAACUUUUUUUGUCAGGGAGCAAUUGGGUCCACGCGUGGGCUUAGCGAGAGUACCUGAAGAAAAAGCAUCGGCUAACUCCGUUCCAGCAGCCGCGGUAAUAGGGAGGAUGAGAGCGUUAUCCGGAUUUAUUGGGUUUAAAGGGUGCGUAGGCGGAAUAUCAAGUCAGCGGGAAAAAUUCGGGGCUAAAACCCGUCGUGCUAUUGAAACUGAUGUUCUUGAGUGGGCGAGAAGUAUGCGGAAUGCGUGGUGUAGCGGUGAAAUGCAUAGAUAUCACGCAGAACUCCGGUUGCGAAGGCAGCAUACCGGAGCCCAACUGACGCUGAAGCACGAAAGCGUGGGUAUCGAACAGGAUUAGAUACCCCAGUAGUC
rnacentral:rRNA from 1 species